AAAUCUCCGUUUUCCAGCGUGAGCUCUGCUGGACGGGCCCCGUCACGCCCGCCACUCUCCUCGCUGGCCUUUUCAUUGUCCCUGGAGAACAGUGUGCACGGCCCCUCCUCCCUGCACCCCGGGCCUGAGCUGUAGCCAGGACCACUCUGCCCCCCGCGCCCCUCCGCACCUAGACUGCUGCUGUGGGCUCUUCACUCUGCUCUUUUGGGGGAUCAGUUUUUUAGCCUGGGGCUUCUGCUCUCCUGCGCCCUGGAAGCCCAAUCUAAGCCCCUCCUACCCCCCCACUACCAUUUUUAAUUCCCGUCUUCACCUCCUGCUUUAGACCCUGCUCUCCCUUCUCUCGGGAGCUCUGUUUGACCCCCUGGCCCAUAGCCUUCAGGGCCUCUACCACGUGCCUGGAGGCCCUGGGGAGGCAGUUUGCCUUACUGCCCUGGCUUGGGGAGAUCGCCCAGCCCCACCCUUGUUUUUCUUCCAUCUGUUCCACAGCCGUGAACAGAUGGAGCCAGGAGCCAGAAGGUGCUGUCGAUGACUGUGACCUCUCUCUCCCAUUAUACGGAUGUGGAGCUGAGGCCCCAAGUCGGGCAGAUGGCUUGGGGUGAGGGGCUGGCUUAAGAGUCCUAAGUGGGACAGACAGAGCUGGGCCAGAAGUACAGCCCCUGGCUUGACCUCCCUCUGGUUCUGGGCGUGCGGAAGGGGAGCACACCUACUCCACAGGGACCCCUGGGGCAAGUGGCCUCCCUCUCUGAGCCUUGCAUUUCGGACCAGUGACGAGGAAUCAGUGCUCACUCCGCUGUAAGGCCACCCAGAGGAGCGACUCAAUGAAGUGUCUACGAGUCGCACCUUGGGUUCUGGGCCGACGGGUCCGUUCCCCAGGAAGAAGGGAGUCAGGUUCACCCAAUGGCCCAAGCCCGGACCUGCAUGUCACCGGGUUGCUUGACACUGGGGUGAGGGCCUGUCUACGGGGCUCCCCCUGGGUGGUGGGAUUGCUUUUGCCUGUCUCCCAGCAUGGCUGGGACGUUCUGGCUGGGUUCAGGGUGCCUUAGAGCUUCCCAGGGGUCUGCUGUGACUUAACUUCAGCCAGGAAGGAAAAGCCACUGG
rnacentral:lncRNA from 1 species